rnacentral:rRNA from 1 species
AGAGUUUGAUCCUGGCUCAGAGCGAACGCUGGCGGCAGGCCUAACACAUGCAAGUCGAGCGCCCCGCAAGGGGAGCGGCAGACGGGAUAGUAACACGUGGGAACGUACCUUUCAGUUCGGAACAACCCAGGGAAACUUGGGCUAAUACCGAAUACGCCCGUAAGGGGAAAGAUUUAUCGCUGAAAGAUCGGCCCGCGUCUGAUUAGCUAGUUGGUGAGGUAAUGGCUCACCAAGGCGACGAUCAGUAGCUGGUCUGAGAGGAUGAUCAGCAUCACUGGGACUGAGACACGGCCCAGACUCCUACGGGAGGCAGCAGUGGGGAAUAUUGGACAAUGGGCGCAAGCCUGAUCCAGCCAUGCCGCGUGGAUGAUGAAGGCCUUAGGGUUGUAAA